UCGCUCCUACCGAUUGAAUGAUCCGGUGAAAUCCUUGGACUUUGCAUUUUGGGUGGUUCGCUACUCUUUUUGCGAGGGAAAUAGAUUAAACCUUAUCAUUUAGAGGAAGGAG
rnacentral:rRNA from 1 species